UCAAAUCCCUCUCGCGUCAC
rnacentral:snRNA from 1 species